rnacentral:rRNA from 1 species
GAUUAACGCUGGCGGCGUGCCUAACACAUGCAAGUCGAACGAAGUGGCGGACGGGUGAGUAACGCGUGAGUAACCUGCCUUAGAGAAGGGGAUAGCCUUUGGAAACGAAGAAUAAUACCCUAUGCUCUAAGAUGGACUUGCGUCUGAUUCGUUAGUUGGGGAGGUAACGGCUCACCAAGACCGCGAUCAGUAGCCGGCUUGAGAGAGUGGACGGCCACAUUGGGACUGAGACACGGACCAGACUCUACGGGAGGCAGCAGUGGGGAAUGGUGCACAAUGGGGGAAACGCUGAGGCAGCGACGCCGCGUGAUGUAGAAGGCCUUCGGGGUGUAAAAAUCUUUUCUAUGGGAAGCAGUACCAUAGGAAUAAGGACCGGCUAAUUACGUGCCAGCAGCCGCGGUAAUUC